GAUUAUUGGGCCUAAAGCAUCCGUAGCUCGUUUUGUAAGUUUUCGGUUAAAUCCAUACGCUUAACGUAUGGGCUGCCGGGAAUACUGCAUAACUAGGAAGUGGGAGAGGUAGACGGUACUCGGUAGGAAGGGGUAAAAUCCUUUGAUCUAUUGAUGACCACCUGUGGCGAAGGCGGUCUACCAGAACACGUUCGACGGUGAGGGAUGAAAGCUGGGGGAGCAAACCGGAUUAGAUACCCGGGUAGUCCCAGCUGUAAACUAUGCAAACUCAGUGAUGCAUUGGCUUGUGGCCAAUGCAGUGCUGCAGGGAAGCCGUUAAGUUUGCCGCCUGGGAAGUACGUACGCAAGUAUGAAACUUAAAGGAAUUGGCG
rnacentral:rRNA from 1 species